CAAGCAAGCCAAGGACCAUAUGUUUUUUGUGUUACACUUUCAGCAUCUAAGCUUAUUAUAUUCAACACAAGGAGAAAGUCCCCGGAAAACAAAAUAUCUUCUGUCCAAUGAUUAAAGAUUAGGGCAGUGGGGUAUUUAGUAAAGCAACUUUGUUUGUUUGUUUUUCAUAAUAAAAGUAAUAUGGUCACCUAUAAUAAUGGGGCAACUUAAUGGGGCUUACUCUGGCUUGUUU
rnacentral:RNase_MRP_RNA from 2 species